rnacentral:lncRNA from 1 species
GUUUCCUUUGCAUUCAUCUCUGUGGUUACAGAAGCCACACGAGAUACACGUACAGAAGCCAGACUCGGUGACCCCUACGGGUCUCUUCCAACUCGGGAUAUUCUGAUUCUAUGCACCUCACUUUUCCGGGCACAGUUAACACACGGGGUCACCUCAGUAACGCUUGCUCACCCGAGGUUAUUUUUAAAGAGCGACGCUUGCGCACCCACAACACCCCCGCUCGUCACCUGAGCGCGCCUCCCGUCAGCCAGCCCCGACCGGCCUCCCUCAGCCCCGCACACAGCACAGCAUUAUUCAAGCGAGAAGAGCUGGGCACCCUCAGACGCCCGCCCAGCGCCCUCAGAUCCCGGCAGCCCCUUCCCGCCCCCUCACGAGGAAGCCGCACCCCCGCCCCGACCCCGCGGGAGCCGAGAGCUGCGCGCUCACAAGCGCGGCCCAAAGUCAGGCGCCUGUGCGAGGGUCAGGUAACGGCCUCCCGGCGACGGCCGCCCGCCCGUUACCUCCAUGGCGAAGCCGGCUCGCUGCUAGCGCGGAUGGACCGCGGCGCCCCUGACAGCACCGCUACCCCGCGCCCCCACUUCCGCCUUCGUCAUCCCCGCACGCCGCUAACGCAGCGCGCCCCCCUGCGGCUGACAGCGACCGUCACCGGAGCCCCGCCCCUGGGAGUCACUAGGAUUAUGCUUGGUGCAUGGAGCUAGUUUGGGACAAGGU